UACGUAGGGGGCGAGCGUUGUCCGGAUUUAUUGGGCGUAAAGAGCGUGUAGGCGGUUCGGUAAGUCUGUCGUGAAAUCCUGAGGCUCAACCUCGGGCGUGCGAUGGAUACUGCCGGGCUAGAGGAUGGUAGAGGCGAGUGGAAUUCCCGGUGUAGCGGUGAAAUGCGUAGAUAUCUGGAGGAAUACCGGUGGCGAAGGCGGCAUCCUGGACCAUUACUGACGCUGAGGCGCGAAAGCUAGGGGAGCAAACGGG
rnacentral:rRNA from 1 species